GUCCAGACUCCUACGGGAGGCAGCAGUGGGGAAUAUUGCACAAUGGGGGAAACCCUGAUGCAGCGACGCCGCGUGAGCGAUGAAGUCUUUCGGUAUGUAAAGCUCUCUCAGCAGGGAAGAAAAUGACGGUACCUGGCUAAGAAGCCCCGGCUAACUACAUGCCAGCAGCCGCGGUAAUACGUAGGGGGCAAGCGUUAUCCGGAUUUACUGGGUGUAAAGGGAGCGCAGGCGGCCUUGCAAGUCUGAUGUGAAAGGGCGGGGCCCAACCCCGGGACUGCAUUGGAAACUGCGAGGCUGGAGUGUAGGAGAGGCAGGCGGAAUUCCUAGUGUAGCGGUGAAAUGCGUAGAUAUUAGGAGGAACACCAGUGGCGAAGGCGGCCUGCUGGACGAUGACUGACGCUGAGGCUCGAAAGCGUGGGGAGCAAACAGGAUUAGAUACCCCGGUA
rnacentral:rRNA from 1 species